AGUGAACGCUGGCGGUAGGCCUAACACAUGCAAGUCGAACGGCAGCACAGUAAGAGCUUGCUCUUACGGGUGGCGAGUGGCGGACGGGUGAGGAAUACAUCGGAAUCUACUUUUUCGUGGGGGAUAACGUAGGGAAACUUACGCUAAUACCGCAUACGACCUACGGGUGAAAGCAGGGGAUCUUCGGACCUUGCGCGAUUGAAUGAGCCGAUGUCGGAUUAGCUAGUUGGCGGGGUAAAGGCCCACCAAGGCGACGAUCCGUAGCUGGUUUGAGAGGAUGAUCGGCCACACUGGAACUGAGACACGGUCCAGACUCCUACGGGAGGCAGCAGUGGGGAAUAUUGGACAAUGGGCGCAAGCCUGAUCCAGCCAUACCGCGUGGGUGAAGAAGGCCUUCGGGUUGUAAAGCCCUUUUGUUGGGAAAGAAAAGCAGCAGGUUAAUACCCCGCUGUUCUGACGGUACCCAAAGAAUAAGCACCGGCUAACUUCGUG
rnacentral:rRNA from 1 species